AAUCAACGCUGGCGGCGUGCCUCAGACAUGCAAGUCGAACGCGAAAGUCCCCUUCGGGGGACAAGUAGAGUGGCGCACGGGUGAGUAACACGUAGGUAAUCUACCUUCGGAUGGGGAAUAACAAUCGGAAACGGUUGCUAAUACCGCAUAAUGCAGCGGCACCUAAUGGUGACAGUUGUUAAAGCGGGGGAUCGAAAGACCUCGCGUCUGAAGAGGAGCCUGCGGCGGAUUAGCUAGUUGGUAAGGUAAUGGCUUACCAAGGCGACGAUCCGUAACCGGCCUGAGAGGGCGGUCGGUCACACUGACACUGACAUACGGGUCAGACUCCUACGGGAGGCAGCAGUCGGGAAUUUUGGGCAAUGGGCGAAAGCCUGACCCAGCAACGCCGCGUGAAGGAUGAAAUCCCUCGGGAUGUAAACUUCGCAAGAACGGGAAGAAU
rnacentral:rRNA from 1 species